rnacentral:rRNA from 1 species
CACGUAAGUAAUCUACCUCUGGGUGGGGAAUAACAGUCGGAAACGACUGCUAAUACCGCAUAAUGCAGCGGCUCGACAUCGAGACAGUUGUUAAAGCAUUUAUGCGCCUGGAGAGGAGCUUGCGGCAGAUUAGCUAGUUGGUAAGGUAAUGGCUUACCAAGGCGACGAUCUGUAGCCGACCUGAGAGGGUGGUCGGUCACACUGACACUGAAUAACGGGUCAGACUCCUACGGGAGGCAGCAGUCGGGAAUUUUGGGCAAUGGGCGAAAGCCUGACCCAGCAACGCCGCGUGAAGGAUGA